rnacentral:rRNA from 1 species
GACGAACGCUGGCGGCGUGCCUAAUACAUGCAAGUCGAACGAACUCUGGUAUUGAUUGGUGCUUGCAUCAUGAUUUACAUUUGAGCGAGUGGCGAACUGGUGAGUAACACGUGGGAAACCUGCCCAGAAGCGGGGGAUAACACCUGGAAACAGAUGCUAAUACCGCAUAACAACUUGGACCGCAUGGUCCGAGCUUGAAAGAUGGCUUCGGCUAUCACUUUUGGAUGGUCCCGCGGCGUAUUAGCUAGAUGGUGGGGUAACGGCUCACCAUGGCAAUGAUACGUAGCCGACCUGAGAGGGUAAUCGGCCACAUUGGGACUGAGACACGGCCCAAACUCCUACGGGAGGCAGCAGUAGGGAAUCUUCCACAAUGGACGAAAGUCUGAUGGGGCAACGCCGCGUGAGUGAAGAAGGGUUUCGGCUCGUAAAACUCUGUUGUUAAAGAAGAACAUAUCUGAGAGUAACUGUUCAGGUAUUGACGGUAUUUAACCAGAAAGCCACGGCUAACUACGUGCCAGCCGCCGCAGUAA